UACGAACUGUGCAAACGUUAUUCGGAAUCACUGGGCUUAAAGGGUGCGUAGGCGGAUUUGAAGGUCCGAUGUGAAAGCCCACGGCUCAACCGUGGAAUUGCGUCGGAACCACAAAUCUUGAGGGAGUCAGAGGUAAGCGGAACUGAUGGUGGAGCGGUGAAUGCGUGAUAA
rnacentral:rRNA from 1 species